rnacentral:rRNA from 1 species
UGGGCAAGACCGGUGCCAGCCGCCGCGGUAACACCGGCAGCCCGAGUGGUGAUCACUAUUAUUGGGUCUAAAGGGUCCGUAGCCGGUUUAAUCAGUCUUCUGGGAAAUCUAAUCGCUUAACUAUUUAGGCUUCCAGGGGAUACUGUUAGACUUGGGACCGGGAGAGGUAAGAGGUACUGCAGGGGUAGGAGUGAAAUCUUGUAAUCCCUGUGAGACCACCAGUGGCGAAGGCGUCUUACCAGAACGGGUCCGACGGUGAGGGACGAAAGCUGGGGGCACGAACCGGAUUAGAUACCCGGGUAGUCCCAGCUGUAAACGAUGCUCGUUAGGUGUCAGGAACGGUGCGACUGUUUCUGGUGCCGAAGGGAAGCCGUGAAACGAGCCACCUGGGAAGUACGGCCGCAAGGCUGAAACUUAAAGGAAUUGGCGGGGGAGCACUACAACGGGUGGAGCCUGCGGUUUAAUUGGACUCAACGCCGGAAAACUCACCGGGGGCGACAGCAAUAUGUAGGUCAGGUUAAAGGUCUUACCUGAAUCGCUGAGAGGAGGUGCAUGGCCGUCGUCAGUUCGUACUGUGAAGCAUCCUGUUAAGUCAGGCAACGAGCAAGACCCGUGCCCACUGUUACCAGCAUAUCCUUUAUGGAUGAUGGGGACUCUGUGGGGACCGCUGCUGCUAAAGCAGAGGAAGGUGCGGGCUACGGUAGGUCAGUAUGCCCCGAAUCUCCCGGGCUACACGCGGGCUACAAUGGUUGGGACAAUGGGUAUCUACUCCGAAAGGAGUUGGCAAUCUCUUAAACCCAAUCGUAGUUCGAAUUGAGGGCUGUAACUCGCCACUCAUGAAGCUGGAAUCCGUAGUAAUCGCGUUUCAACAUAGCGCGGUG